rnacentral:piRNA from 1 species
UCUGUUUACCACCCAGGAUGUGAGUGCUUC